GCAUCGAAACACAAAACUGGUUCGAACCGGUUUCGUUCUUAUAUUUCAGCGUAAACUACAAAAACAUUCGUUUGCAUUAUACAUUCGCCAUUUUACGCUACGACCGAACGGUUGUUGUGUGUUAUCUCUCCGGAGAAAAUCACGUUUUUACGGUUCUAUUUUUGUGAUCUUUCUGUGCAUUUCCUAUCAACAACAUGGGCAAAACGAAGACUAACUCUGAGCCAACAAGAUUCUCCGAACGGUUGGCAGGGAGACCUAAAAUUACGGCGGAGCUGAAGAAAAAAGCUGCUGUAAAAAAGGCAGCCAAACCAAAGAAGGCCAAAUCAGCUGAAAAUGGGAGCACCAAGGCUGAGGAGAAACAGGCUGAAGCCAAAUGAAGGACAGCUGAUGUGCUCACUCUGUGUACUUGGUGAUUGUACAGUUUUAAAUAAGUAUUUUUACCAAGUUUUAUAUUACCAAUGUCAUUUAUAGGUUUGGUUUGGGCUUGCACUUGAUGUAACAGAAGUUUGUUGUCACAUUCAUAUCCAUUUUAUAUCCAUUUAAAAAUGAUUACCGUCCAUAUCUUGUAGAAGUGGCAUUUUCAGUUUGUCUAAUCCCGUUUUGUUUUUUAUUUUGAACUGCUGAAUAAUAUGUUUUUUUUUUAUCCAGAAAGUUGGAAUUUGAAUCUUAUUUUAAACAUUAUAAGGCAGCUAAAGCAUAUUAUUAAAAUUUGAAGGUUGGGGGGGAGGGGGGUAGGAAUUCUCUCUGCUAUCUCCUUAUAUUUUAAUGUUUAAUUAAUAAGAAAUUGCUUACCAAAUGUUUUGAAACACUGUAUGUAGACACAAGUUCCAGUCAGUGAUUAUACCACAGACAAUACCAUUAUUAGGUCAAAUGACUGAAACAUCCCAAAAACAUGUAUGAUGUGAACCUCGUCAUCUGAUGAAGUCCUGUUAAGUUAUGUUUCUGCUCUGACUGAAGCUUUUCUGACUUUAAUGGUUGAUCUUAAUGUUCUUGAAUAAAAUUUGUCAAAAUGUC